UGCUGGGGGAUGGGGGCUGUGGUCUCUGCGGGCUGUGAUCUGGGUCUUUGUGUGUGGAUGGUUGCGUGUUUGUGGCCGUUACCACAAUUCGGUUUUUGGGUGCUCUUAAUGGGAUUAACACUCUGGUAUUCUAGAUUAGGGUAUGGAUGCUCACUAAUUAGACAACAGACUGUUGCUGUCACUUUUUGUUCAUGUGUGGUUGUUUGUCCUGGUAUGUUGUAUGGUUGGGGCUCUG